AAAUUGAAGAGUUUGAUCAUGGCUCAGAUUGAACGCUGGCGGCAGGCCUAACACAUGCAAGUCGAACGGUAACAGGAAGAAGCUUGCUUCUUUGCUGACGAGUGGCGGACGGGUGAGUAAUGUCUGGGAAACUGCCUGAUGGAGAGGGAUAACUACUGGAAACGGUAGCUAAUACCGCAUAACGUCGCAAGACCAAAGAGGGGGACCUUCGGGCCUCUUGCCAUCGGAUGUGCCCAGAUGGGAUUAGCUAGUAGGUGGGGUAACGGCUCACCUAGGCGACGAUCCCUAGCUGGUCUGAGAGGAUGACCAGCCACACUGGAACUGAGACACGGUCCAGACUCCUACGGGAGGCAGCAGUGGGGAAUAUUGCACAAUGGGCGCAAGCCUGAUGCAGCCAUGCCGCGUGUAUGAAGAAGGCCUUCGGGUUGUAAAGUACUUUCAGCGGGGAGGAAGGGAGUAAAGUUAAUACCUUUGCUCAUUGACGUUACCCGCAGAAGAAGCACCGGCUAACUCCGUGCCAGCAGCCGCGGUAAUACGGAGGGUGCAAGCGUUAAUCGGAAUUACUGGGCGUAAAGCGCACGCAGGCGGUUUGUUAAGUCAGAUGUGAAAUCCCUGGGCUCAACCUGGGAACUGCAUCUGAUACUGGCAAGCUUGAGUCUCGUAGAGGGGGGUAGAAUUCCAGGUGUAGCGGUGAAAUGCGUAGAGAUCUGGAGGAAUACCGGUGGCGAAGGCGGCCCCCUGGACGAAGA
rnacentral:rRNA from 1 species